rnacentral:rRNA from 1 species
UACGGAGGGUGCAAGCGUUAUCCGGAUUCACUGGGUUUAAAGGGUGUGUAGGCGGGCUGUUAAGUCAGUGGUGAAAUCUCAAGGCUCAACCUUGAAACUGCCAUUGAUACUAUCAGUCUUGAAUCUUGUUGAGGUAGGCGGAAUAUAUCAUGUAGCGGUGAAAUGCUUAGAUAUGAUAUAGAACACCGAUUGCGAAGGCAGCUUACUAAACAAGCAUUGACGCUGAGGCACGAAAGCGUGGGGAUCAAACAGG